GACGAACGCUGGCGGCGUGCCUAAUACAUGCAAGUCGAACGCAGUGGGGACGGGUGAGUAACACGUGGGUAACCUCCCAUCAGAGGGGAUAACACUUGGAAACCGGUGCUAAACCGAUACUGAUGGAUGAACCCGCGGUGCAUUAGCUAGUUGGUGAGGUAACGGCUCACCAAGGCAACGAUGCAUAGCCGGCCUGCGAGGAUGACCGACCACCAUGGUACUUAGACCCUCGCCAGAGUCCUACGGGUAGCAGCAGUAGGGAGUUUGCGCCAGUGGACGAAAGUCUGACCGAGCGAAGCUGCGGGAAUAGAGAAGGUCUACGGACGGUAAGACACUAUUGUUAGACAAGCGGUAUCUAACCAGAAAGGCACAGCUAGCUACCUACCAGCAGCCGCGGUAAUAC
rnacentral:rRNA from 1 species